rnacentral:rRNA from 1 species
AUUGAACGCUGGCGGCAUGCCUUACACAUGCAAGUCGAACGGCAGCACGGGUGCUUGCACCUGGUGGCGAGUGGCGAACGGGUGAGUAAUACAUCGGAACGUACCUUAUCGUGGGGGAUAACGCAGCGAAAGCUGUGCUAAUACCGCACACGCCCUGAGGGGGAAAGCGGGGGAUCGAAAGACCUCGCGCGAUUAGAGCGGCCGAUGCCUGAUUAGCUUGUUGGUGGGGUAAAAGCCCACCAAGGCGACGAUCAGUAGCUGGUCUGAGAGGACGAUAAGCCACACUAGGACUGGGACACGGCCCAGACGCCUACGGGAGGCAGCAGUGGGGAAUUUUGGACAAUGGGGGCAACCCUGAUCCAGCAAUGCCGCGUGAGUGAAGAAGGCCUUCGGGUUGUAAAGCUCUUUUGUCAGGGAAGAAACACCGGCUCUAACACAGUCCGGGAAUGACGGUACCUGAAGAAUAAGCACCGGCUAACUACGUGCCAGCCGCCGCGGUAA